rnacentral:rRNA from 1 species
UACGGAGGAUGCAAGCGUUAUCCGGAUUCAUUGGGUUUAAAGGGUGCGUAGGCGGCUUUUUAAGUCAGUGGUGAAAUCCUGUCGCUCAACGAUAGAAUUGCCAUUGAUACUGAAGAGCUUGAGUUCAGUUGAGGUAAGCGGAAUGUGUAGUGUAGCGGUGAAAUGCUUAGAUAUUACACAGAACACCGAUUGCGAAGGCAGCUUACUAAACUGACACUGACGCUGAUGCACGAAAGCGUGGGGAUCGAACAGGAUUAGAUACCCUGGUAGUCCACGCUGUAAACGAUGAUCACUCGCUGUAUGCGAUACACAGUAUGCGGCCAAGCGAAAGCAUUAAGUGAUCCACCUGGGGAGUACGAUCGCAAGGUUGAA